CAAUUACAUGUUUGAAGGCAAUUUAGAUCAUUUGGAAAAUAUACAUUGCAAUUUCCGAACCGACAGUCCGAAAUGAACAAGGAGCACCUGAAUGUAACAUAAACACAAUCGCCUAGUUCAGGGACCGCUGUCGGCUGCUGAUCAUCGUAAAUUUGUGACAGAGGUAAAUUGUGUUCAAAGGAGAUUAUAAAUACGAGCUGAUUACUGUUGACAAUUAUUUUAAACUUCGGCAAUAUAAACUUUGUUAAGUCCAUUGAGCUAGUCGUAUUCUGCGAAAUAAAUCAUGUUAAUAUGUUAUGUUUUUCUGAGAGUGGAAAGGGUGAGCGACGUGAUUACAGUAUUCUAUCAAAUCAUGUUAGUGUUACGAACACGUAGCUUCUGAACAAGUUAAAGUAAAUGAUCCACACAUUUUUUUUGAGGAACUGCGUCUUCGUGUAACGUCAGACUGAUUGUAGUAGGCCUACCCAUUUUAAUAUAGGGAAUGAGGAGUUAAUGUCAUAUCCUAAACGCGAUUUUCUGGAUUGAUAUGUUUGUGGGAAAGAUUGCCCACAUGCCUACAAACUGAGUGCAAAACGUCGGGAACAACUCUGUCGUUGCAUGUUUACAGUCACGCCAGCUAAUUGAAUAUAUACAGUUUGUUUAUAUUUUACUUUACUUCCUCAAACGUCUACCUGUAUUCGACCACAAUAACACCUGUCCAUGUUAUAUUAUGUUCCGUUUAUAUGGGGCGGCCACUGUCGCAACAGGUGGAACAAUCUUGGAAUAAUCCUUGAGUGCUCCAUAGGAACUGGUUGUGUUCCCGUUCUUCCCAUUCUGUCGGCGUACCGUGAAUGUGUCACACCGGUGACGUAAAGCAGGGAUUUGAGGCGCAAGAUGAGAGGAUGCAUGUGCGCAGUUAGCUGGCAGCCUCCCUCCCUCAAUCUCUGGAGUCCCUCCCCUUGUUUUCAAUGUGGAGCUAUUGACAUGGGUUGUAUCAAUAAAUGUUUCCUGUAUCUACUUUGUACAUGUUUUGUUUAGUUCCUCCUACUUGACACUGUCUCCUCUGCUCAGAUGAGUCGUCGUCUCCACUGCUAUUCAAAGCCAGGUAGGCUGCUACUGGAGCAGCUGUCAUGUAGGCAAUAUUAACUAUAUGUACAAAAUGAGGCAUCAUCCUAUCACAUGUGUUUGUAUCUCCAGGUACAUCAGGAUAUGGUCUUGGUGCCAUUCGCCCAUUCUGUCUCUGUGCAGAGAGAGGCCGACAGUAAGGACUGCCACACACUCCCCUCUCCCUCUGCUCUCCUUGUAGAGUAUGACAGACCAGUGGUCCAUCACUGACUGGGCUGCAACGACUUCCUCUGGACCGAACUCUUUAGAGGUCACUGCCAUGCGGAAAGCCUCUGCAUUGUGUCGAAGGCCUAGUGUUAUUCUAUAUUUGUGUGAGCCCGAUAAAGCUCGUCGAGCUCCAAAAAAUAUAAAACUUACAAAAAUGAGUCAAACCAUCAGGUGAAAUGUUGACUGAUCACAAGAAACACCGCUUUUGUAACGUGAGUCAAUUCGACAUACCAACCUUCUCUUGGCUGUAAAUGCUCAGUAGUGCACCAUAUGUAUAUUAAUUAGAGGCUGAUACCAACAAAACUUUACGACAAAAUGUCACGGAUGACAGUAAAGUCGAAGACUAAAAGUAUUUCCAUUGAUGUAAAGAGAGUAAAGGCGUAGAAGUUCAGUGAAUAAGUUUUAGCUACCAGCCAAUACGAUACAUAUCUAGACAAUUUGAAAACACGUCCUCAGGAAAUGACUCCCUUUGUAGAAAUGAAACUAUGAACGAAUGAGCUUGGGGGCUGUUUGCCACCGACAGGAAGUCAGAAUGUAUCAAGAGAGCUUCGUGGUUUUGGUCAUUUGAUGUAAUUUCUUGAGAAUAAGGAAAAUAAAAAAGUGAAUCACAAUUCUUUGAACACCGACCUGCAGGUCUGACGAUGACUCUGAGUUACCUGUUCCGUGAACCGGCCACCAUACCUGUUUGAAAAGGGCCCUCUGUCACCCGGCUUCAGAGGAGAGCACGCGCUCCGCCGCUACCUUAGUGAAUAGGAGCACUGCGUUGCCUGUAAGCUGUGUGAGGCCGUCUGCCCUGCUCAGCUGAGACUCGAGCUGAUGGCAGCAGGAGAACGACACGCUAUGACAUUGAUAUGACCAAAUGUAUCUACUGUAGCUUCUGCCAAGAAGCCUGCCCUGUUGAUGCUAUUGUUGAGGGUCCAAACUUUGAGUUCUCCACAGAAACCCACGAGGAGCUGCUGUAGUGAAGCUGCUCAACAAUGGAGACCAACGGGAGGCUGAGAUAGCAGCCAACAUAAAGACUACCUGUAUAGAGAGUACACUGGCCACAGAAAUGUUUUAAUUCAUGAAAACAAUAUAUCUUAUCGUCCACCUACGCAUUACA